UCCCUGAUGGUCCAGUGGUUAGGACUCAGUACUUUCACUGCUGUGAGCCCAGGUUUGAUCCCUGGUUGGGGAA